AUCAGUUCUUGCAAAACAGUGACUGAAAGAAGAAUGGAGAGAAAGAAAAACAGAAAGAGGGAGAAAGAGGUGUCAAUUGCUAGCCGUCAACUCAUUUGAUGUCCUCCCCGCACAUCCAGAAGCGCUCACGUGUGAAAAGCCGCCGUAACUUUCACCGGGGACAUUUUUGACGAGCAGUGAGGAAAGAGUUUGACAGAUCCGGGCGACGUCAGGCCGUCUCUGGGCCAUUUGGCAUGCGGUGGGCGUCUGGCAUGCUGAAGACUGCCUGUCAAACGCCUAUGACUCCAUAGAGUGGUGCGGGGACCCUACGGAGCGGCAGAUGGGCCAUUAAGGGAUGGCUGGAUGUUUCCAUGGCCACUAAUCUCCCCCCAGCACAGUUACAUGCAAACGCACACCCAGACCAGCACAUUCCCGCAGUUGACUAGGUCAACUCAAAGUACCUAAUCACAAGCACAUGAAAUGUUCCCGGCUCAGGGAGAGACGUGUGGACCAGUGGAGGAAAGGUUAAUGCUAAGGGGUCAAGUGAUUUCACACCCGAGACGCCAACCGCCUCGACACUGAGCUCCGCCACAUCCCAC
ensembl:lncRNA